ACAGAGGGCAGGCGGGUCUGCCUUUCCCACCAGCCCCAGUCUGUCUGGAGGGGCCCGCCCUGCUCCUCAGGGCGUACUGGAGCCAGUCUGGGAAAUGGAGUAUACCACAAGCACAUUGCUUUGCUUCUGCUGUGACAAUAAUGCCCGACAAAAGCAACUUAAGUUAGGGUUUAUUUCGGCUCGUAGUUCUGAGGUACCAUCCACCAUGAGGGUAGGGCAUGAGCGAGGUCAGGUGAGAGGCAUGGGUGCUGGAAUUCAUUGCGUUUGCUUCUUUUUGUUCAGAUUUGGAUUGGUCUUCUCUCACAACAUCCUCACAGAUACUCAGAGGUGUGUCUCCUAAGUGAUCACAGUUCCGUCAAGUUGACACUGUCAAUUAGCCAAUACUGUGGCUUAGCACCCAGAUCCAAGGCUAGGCAGCCAGAACUGUGUUACCCAUGUCUAUUUGAAAAACUCUACGUAAGAUCCUUGGAGAAGAGGAGGGUGACUCGUUUUUAAACCACCAGGAGUCUUUUUCUUUUUUAAGACAAAGUUUUCUCUGUAUUCCCAGCUAACAUAGAAUUCACUAUGUAGACGACCCUGUCUUUGAACUCACAGGGAUCCAGCCUCCUGAGUGCUGGGAUUAAAAGUGUGUGCCACUGUACCCAGCUGCAAGUCUUAGUGACAGGGUGUUCUUGUGGUGUGGGGUCAGAGAGCAUUUGGUGUGUUUCCAAAGGGCAGCGCAGUUGAGAAAGCACACGCACUAUUUUGCCAGCAGUUUGAACCGCAGUGUGGGAUCCUGGCCAGCUCAGCCCUGCUUCAUCCCAGGCCUGCAGAUCCCACUGGACAUGGGCCAAACCUGGGAGGAUCACAGUCUCUUAAGUGCCUCCCGGAGUCAGACGCGAACUCGAAACCCUUAUUUAAGAGUCCCAGUCACUCCUGCUAGACAACAGGGAGAAUCCUGGAGAAUGUGAUAGAUGGUUCUGGCAUACAUGACACACAGUGGGAGCUUGUCUCUGAAAUCCUCAGGGAGACUGUUAGUGCAAUGAUUUGUGUGCCUCGCUGGGCGUGCCCAGAAGCGUUCUGUGUUCCCGAGCUAUCCAGGAUGGGGAGGGGCUAGAAGGCUUUGAGUUCCUGGGAGGAAUGCUUGGGGAGACAGGAGGCUUGGAGACUGGAGCCUUGGAGCAUACUGAGACUAGCCCCUACAAGUUAGGCAGCUCAGCAGGCUUUUCGCCUUGUUCCAGACUAGCUGACAGCAACUAGGAAAAGAUGUAGGUAUGUCUGUGGGGAAACUGGAGCCUCCCUGGGGUUCCAGAACCGUGGCCCACAGCCUCAUUCCUGUCUUCUACACUGCAGCAGUAUCUCAGAGAUUAGGGAAGAGACCACACAGGCUUGCUGAAGUAUGGUUCCCUCUCCUCUUCCUCUCUUUUCAUUUUUAUUUUUCUCUUCCUCUCCUUGUCAUCCUCACCAUCCUCCUUUUAUCAAGGUCAUUUCUUGCUAUUUAUUUUGGCUGGCCUCAGACUACCUUUGUAGUCCAGGCUAGUCUUGAACUCACUCUGUAGUCCAAGGCUGGUCUUGAACUCUCAAUCUUCCUUUGUCAGCUUGCCACAUGCUGGGGUUACUGGUUUGUGCACCCACAUCUAACUUCAUCCUGUCUUCACAGGGGAGCAGAGGGAAACUUUCUCUUUCUGAAGCUGAGCUUGGAAGAUGGCAAGAUCAUAUUGGGGUAUCUUAAUGCGGUGUCCUUAGAAGUAAGCUGGGGACCUAGGCUGUUGUCCUGUGUGGAGUUAGACAUUCAGAAAGAACCAGGACGGGAGACAAGGAGGGGAAGGUUGCUUCCAGCAGUGUGCUGUUGAGCAAGGCAUCUCUGGGAACAACUGAAGAUCAUCCCAUUGGGGAUCCUGAGAGUUCAACACCAUGCCUACUGCAGUUCACCCGUAGGCUAGGAAGUUACACAUCAUAGAGGUGGGGCUGGGCUUGUGGCCCUGCUAUGUGUGGGGGUCCAGUGGUUAGAAGAAGCCCACAGGCAAAGAGGCAAAUAGAGGCAGCUGCUGGCACCUGGAGUCCCGGCCUGUGUGUUAAAACAGUAAGGACACAAAAGACUCACGGGCCACAGAGCAUCUGUGCUACCUGGAGGACCAGCUAUCUCUGUAAGGAGCUGAGCCCUUUCCCUUUCUCUUCAAUUGGUUGCUGGCCAGGCCCUGGAAGGGUAAUUCAUAGGAGCACCAGGAAGAAGUACGCUGGGAGAGUGAUUGGGUGUCUCAGAAGCUGGAGGUGAACUUAAACUUGUGCUUGCUUCUGUCAAGGGAUGCCCUGGUGAGUGGAGUUUGGAAGGCUGGGGGUCAAAUGGUUAUUAGGCAUAGGACAGGGCAAUUCCAAGAGAAGCCUCACUUUCCACUGCAGUUGGAAGGUUCAGACCAGUGCCUGUAAGCCUCACAUGAAGAAGCCGUGGGCCUGGUGGAGAAGCUGUGGGCCUGGUGGAGAAGCUGUGGGCUGGUGGAGAAGCUGUGGAAUUGGCUUGGGUCAGCACAGAGAACUCAGCAUGGGAAAGUGCUGUGAGCCGUUGGGAGACAAGACUUCCCUCUGAGAGAAAUCCCUCCGGUCAGACUGCUUCGGGACAAGUUCUGUUCAGCUACUUGUGCGGUACUGACUGUGACUAUCUGGACUGUCAGUAUCCAUGAAGCCCCCGGGAACCAAUGACACUAGAACUCUGUGACCUGUCAGGUAAAGAAGCCACUGCCCCUAGCUCUGAGGAAGCCCAUCUGAGGAGUCAGGGAGCAGGGCUUCUAAAAGAGGUCACUCUGAUCUUAACUCCAAGGAGCUGAGCCCCACAGCACUGCCUUGCCUCUCUGAACUCAACUAGUGGCUCAACUCUGCACUCUAAUCUUUAGGAUUUUGCCUGCUUGGCACAUCUUAAUCCAAAUGGUGCCUCCGGACAGAUGGAACGAUAGCUCAAGUGCAGACAGCAAGAUCCAGAUGGAAGGAAGCUAUUCCUAUGACCUAGACUAUCCAACCAAAACCGUGAGAAGCCAAAGGAAACAGGCAGCAAACAGAAUGGGGCCCUGGAAGAAUGAGUGGCUCAUUCAAAUCUCAUUGAGAACAGAGCUCACGCCAAUGAGCAGAUGAGAUGCAUGCACACUGGUGCGCCGGAGGACCGUGAAGCAUUCCAUCACUUGUCACUUGACGGAGAUGCUGGGUGACAUUUUUGUCAGAGAUUAAGUGGUACCCCUCUGCUUUACAUCCUUCGUCUCACGUAGGGCAGGAGACAUUCUUUCUACCUCCUCCUUGACUCAUGGCUGAGGUCUCCAGAGGGCAGACAGAUGGACAGGACAAAGAUGUGCAGACGGAUGUGACCUAGAUCUCAUGUGACCUGGGAACCUUCGGAACAUAAAGAAACAGGAAGCUUGUGUUUUUGUUGUAUAUUCAAUGACUUAUGGCCAGUCACAAAGACGCUGCUGAGGUCGGGUCCAAUGGUAAUGAACUUGGGGACUAGAGGGGGCCUGUCUGUUCAGGUGCUUCUUUGAGAGACGAGUGUUCCUUCCCUCUAGGUACAGGAAAGAGACUUCUCACAGGAGGGGUUUGUGACCUGUUUCAGGGAAAGUCAUCACGUGUUUCUAUGACCUGCUUUAGAGAAGCUGGAAGGGCAGAGGGCCCUGUCUGAUUCUAUGGUUUCCUCACAUGGCCAUGGACCCUAAUCCUGAACCCUAUUCCCUGCCUAAUGUCACCCACACUUAUCUCCCCCCAGACUUGAACGGUGUGUACAUGUGCAUGUGUGUACAUGUGUGUAAAUGUGUGUAUGGAGACCAGGGGACGACCUUGGGUGUCACCUUCAGGAAUGCUUUCUACCCCCUUUGAGACAGGAUCUCUCAUGACCCUGGAGCUCACUGAAAAGGUCAGACUGGCUGUUCAGUGAGCCUCGCAGAUCCACUGUCUCAGCCUUCCCAGAACUGGGACCACCUUGAAUUUUUUUGCAUGGGUUUUGGGAAUUGAAUUCAGCUUCUCAGGCUUGCAACGCAAGGACUUGACUACUGACCCCCCUCUGACUUCUUAAAUAAAAGCUUUGUGAAGUAAA